rfam:Oryza barthii chromosome 1, whole genome shotgun sequence.
AAAAUAGGCAAACAUUGGUUUCCGUGUCGACCCUUGACUGUCCGUCUUAUAUGAAAUUUUUUUAUAAUUCGUAUUUUUAUUGUUGUGAGAUGAUAAAACAUGAUUAAUAUUUUAUGCGUGACUUGUCUUUUUUAUUUUUUUUCAUAAUUUUUUUAAAUAAGACGGAAGGUCAAACGUUGGGCAUGGAAACCAGGGUUUGUCUUUUU